GAGGGUGUGCCUCAGAGGUAGAGCACUUGCCUAGCAUGUGUGAGGCCCUGAGUUCAAUUCUCAUCACCCAUA
rnacentral:tRNA from 1 species